UGUUUUCAAAUUAUUUAUGCAGAUGUCUUUGGAAUAUAUACUGUCUUCAAAUCAAUGAUUUUCUGCUACUAUUACUCAAUAUUCAAGUUGGGAAUAUCUUAAAGACUUUAUAGAUUUUAUAGAUGCAAAUGAACAAUGUUCAAUAAUGUGUAGUAAUUUUUAUGGAUUCUUUUUUUCUAAAAUUAUUUAUAGAGAAGAGGAAGAGGUAUUUAGUUGUAGAUUGAUACAUGAAUUCGUAAUGGGGCUUGUUGACUUUGGUAAAAAUAACGAAGUAUGGAUAAAAUUAGACGAUCGUAUUGCUAGAUUUGGUAUGAAAGAAUUUUGUCUUAUCACUGGAUUACCUUGUCAUGAACCGGUUAUGGAGAUUGAUCAUAGCAACAAUCGUCUUAGAAAUCAUUAUUUCAAUGGUAGUCAAAGAAUUAACAUGAAAAUGCUAUUUGAAGUUUUCCAUGAAUGUGAAGACUUAGUAGAUAAAUUUAAGUUGGGAUUAGUUAUGUUGGUGGAAUGUGUUAUAAAACCAGUUGGAAGAAUUAUUGAUUACAAAACUCUUGGUAUGGUCGAGCAUCUUGAUGAAUUUCUUGGAUAUCCUUGGGGUUGAAAAUAAUUUUUUAUUUUGUUAAAUUCACUACAAGAAUCACAAUUGCAAAGAGCAGGAAGAGUGCAACGGAACGAACAAAUAGAUUGUAAGUAUGCAUUACGAGGGUAUCCACUUGCAUUUCAAGUAUUUUAUUAAUAUUUUUUUUCUUUUGUUGACUUCAUUUAUUUGUAAGAGAAAAAUAUUUGUAAUUGCGAUACAGUAUUGGAUUUAUGAGGCAAUUCCAGAAAUUGGAAAAAAAUUUGGACGGCGUCGAUACAAAACAACACAGAGUCCACGAAUGUAUAAGUGAAGUCCUAAUAAACUACUGACUCAAAAAAUGAUUAAGCAUUUUCUAGCUACUCGAGAG
rnacentral:lncRNA from 1 species